rnacentral:rRNA from 1 species
UACGGGGGGAGCAAGCGUUGUUCGGAUUUACUGGGCGUAAAGGGCGCGUAGGCGGCUUGGCAAGUCAAAGGUGAAAUCCCUCGGCUCAACUGAGGAACUGCCUUUGAAACUGCCUGGCUUGAGGCCGGGAGGGGGUAGCGGAAUUCCCAGUGUAGCGGUGAAAUGCGUAGAUAUCUGGAGGAACACCGGUGGCGAAGGCGGCAUCCUGGACCGAGAUUGACGCUGAUGCGCGAAAGCCAGGGAGCAACGGG